CAACGUCUAACCGCAUGCACCGCUCUUGCUCGCGCCUAGGGUUAGAGAUCAGCUUAUGGCGUCGACGGCGGCGACGGUGUCGACGGCUGCGGUGGUGUCGACGGCGUCGACGGCGGCGCAACAGCGGAUGCUGAAGGGAAUCGACGGCGGCGACGGCAACGGCAACGGCAACGACGGGUGCUGAAGGGAAUCGACGGCAACCGCGGGUGCUGAAUGGCGUGCUGAAGGGCAGCGAUGGUGGCGUGCGGCUGCCUCGAGCGCGUAGUCCCGCCCCGACCGUCACGAUCAGCAAGCUUGUUUCUUCCUCUGAAUUGUUUCUCCAUGCAACUCCAUGUACAUACAUCGUUGGCCUACUGUAUGUGUGAAUAGUUCUCGCUUGAUGCAGGAUGCAAUUAAUUCCUCUGGUGAUUAUGUGGUAGCUGGUUUGAUGUAUCACCCAGAAGCAAUUGUCCUGAAGAACGAUGAGCCGCAAACAAAGCACGAGUUGCGAACCGUGAAGUUGCUCGGCUUGGUGCAGAAGAAAAAGGAGCUUGCCAUUUGAGUUGUCGUGCUUCUGUUUGCAGCUGUUGCUGUUGUUGCGACGUACUUCGACAACAAGUGCAUGACUAAAUGUAGCUACUGGUGUCUUCGAGUCUGUUGGUGAUGGUGGAGGGUGGUCAUAUGUAAAUUAGUGAACUGGUGAUGUUGUAUUGACCUAGUGACGCUGAAGUGUGGUUUUUCACAUUACAUUUUCCUGAUCCAUUACACAAAGAAGGUAAACAUCAUCAAAUCAAAUUCUGCAUAUGAGUGCACCAUGAGACAUGAGUUCAACACGACACAGAGAUCAAAAGCAAAACAUGACAGGGGUUCAAAUGCAAAACAUGAGACAUGAGUUUUUAACUAUAUAAGCUAGAAAAUGAGGUAAUUGCUAUUCCUCUCUAGUAGUUGCACUAGCACCAACGGUGAACCAGGAGUGCAUUCUCCCACUUGAACUUCUUCCAUAAGAUCUAUUAUGUCCAUAAUCAGGUUGAAAUGCAGCCCCCCUUCCACUACCAGCCGGCCCUCUUCCUCUCUCAAUUGCAGCAGAUGAUGAUGAUGCCUGUGAUUCUUGGACCUGAAAAUUAUGAGAUCAUGUAAACAAUAAUAAAAUAUUGACACCUACAUUUAUUCUAGGAGUGAUUAUUUUACCUGGAAUUUAGCUGCAGAUACUUUAGGUAAUCCUCUUCCUCUCCCCUUACCAGUUGAUGUUUUAGGAGUACCUUUAGGUGCUUUGGAUGCUCCUCUUCCUCUCCCCUUACUAGAUUCUGUUGGAGUAGCAGCGGGAGUAGUCAUAGGUGCUGCCGGUGCUGAACUUCUGGGCUUCUUUGCAGCUACUUUUCCUCUCC
rnacentral:lncRNA from 1 species